AUUGAACGCUGGCGGCAGGCUUAACACAUGCAAGUCGAGCGAGCGGCGGACGUGUGAGUAAUGUCUGUGAACCUGCCUGAUGGUGGGGGAUAACUACUGGAAACGGUAGCUAAUCCCGCCUACUAUCAGAUUUCCCCAGCUGGGAUUAGCUAGUAGGUGGGGUAAUGGCUCACCUAGGCGACGAUCCCUAGCUGGUCUGAGAGGAUGACCAGCCACACGGGAACUGAGACACGGACCAGACUCCUACGGGAGGCAGCAGUGGGGAAUAUUGCACAAUGGGCGCAAGCCUGAUGCAGCCAUGCCGCGGGUGUGAAGAAGGCCUUCGGGUUGUAAAGCACUUUCAGCGAGGAGGCGUUACUCGCAGAAGAAGCACCGGCUAACUCCGUGCCAGCAGCCGCGGUAAUAC
rnacentral:rRNA from 1 species